AAUGAACGCUGGCGGCAUGCCUUACACAUGCAAGUCGAACGGCAGCACGGGUGCUUGCACCUGGUGGCGAGUGGCGAACGGGUGAGUAAUACAUCGGAACAUUUCCUGUAGUGGGGGAUAGCCCGGCGAAAGCCGGAUUAAUACCGCAAACGAUCUACGGAUGAAAGCGGGGGACCUUCGGGCCUCGCGCUAUAGGGUUGGCCGAUGCCUGAUUAGCUAGUUGGGGGGGUAAAGGCCUACCAAGGCGACGAUCAGUAGCUGGUCUCAGAGGACGACCAGCCACACUAGGACUGAGACAGGGCCCAGACUCCUACGGGAGGCAGCAGUGGGGAAUUUUGGACAAUGGGCGAAAGCCUGAUCCAGCAAUGCCGCGUGUGUGAAGAAGGCCUUCGGUUUGUAAAGCACUUUUGUCCGGAAAGAAAUCCUUGGCCCUAAUACGGUCGGGGGAUGACGGUACCGGAAGAAUAAGCACCGGCUAACUACGUG
rnacentral:rRNA from 1 species